CACUACACGCCAUUUUGAUGUAAUAAGUUUCUGGCUUCAAUUUACAAAUAAUCAUAUUAAAUUAUACACUGCGUAAGCAGGAGAAAAAGAAUCUCCACGAUCCUGGAUCAAAUGGCAAGAUCCACCACUCCCGUGCUGUUAUUUAUCAGUCUCCACCAAAGAGAAUUAAUUUGUAAGAGACUUCCACUUUCAGCAUCCCGUAAAUUAUACCCAGUUACUGUGAAGUAAUGGGAGGAAAAUUUUAGUGAUUCAUUCAUAUUUUAUGAGAAACAAGACUGAAUUUUAUCCCUUCCUACAUAUCUUCACCCUAAAUCAACUAUUCACUGUGUCAUUGUUCUUCAAAAUCAUGCAAUUCACAUGCUUUUUUACCGAUCCAGGGAAAAUUUCAAAAUAUAAAUGCCAAAUUUGUUUCCCAUCUUGGAAGUGUGCAAGAAAAGGAGGAAAUAUGAAAAUCAAUAGGGGAGAAAGUGCUUGUGUGAAAGAGGUGCAACACACGCGGAUGUCAAAGCCAGGCCCAACCUCUACUCAGAAGACACUGAGGAACCUAUCUCUUUACACGUGUCAAUUAUGGAAUAAUCACGGACUAUGGACUAUUAUGAAGACACUAGAUUAUCAAAUAGCUACAUCUGUGUCAGAUCCCUACAGCUUCAUCAUCAAUAGACGAAGGACCUGAAGGGUGGUUCCUCAUGCAGAGCCACAGCUGUGAUCAAGCCCUGUCACUUCAUUUCUCCGAGCCUCAUUGCCCUCAUCUGUGUUAACGUCACAGAACCAAUAAGAGACUCGCAUGAAAUAAAGUUACUUUUUACUUUUUAAAUUUUUUUGAAAGACUGUUAUUUAUGUGAGAGAAAGAGAGAGAGAGAAUCUCAAGCAGACUCCCCACUGAGCACAGAGCCCAACAUGGGGCUUGAUCCCAGAACCCUGAGAUCAUGACCUGAGCUGAAAUCAAGAGUCAGCCACUCAAUUGACUGGGACACC
rnacentral:lncRNA from 1 species